UCUUGUGGUUGAACAAUAGUUCACAGUAUGGAUAGAUUGAAAGCUUCUCAAAUUGCGUUUACAGUGAACUGCCACGAUUGGUGAUUGCAACUGAUGAUGGGCGGCUUUAGGACCAUGACGAAAGCGCUGUGUUGUCGAGUGCAGCACUUGCCCGGGUUGUGAAAUUGAGACAUUGAGAAAUAAUAGCUCGUACUAGCUAGCUCUGAAGACACGAACUAAAAUGUAUUUCUUAUUAUAAAUAGUGCAAUGCUGACAUACGUGGGGCAGUUGUAUUGGCAGUUUAAGGUAGACAGUUGUUAGUGGAAAGUAGGGUUAGGAGUGGGUUACAGGAAUGGUAUAACUUAUUCUGACUUUGAAAUGUUUGUGAACGAUGUCAUUUAAUUCUAGUUAACAACAUGACGCUGCGUAAGGGCAUGGCAUAAUCUGGAUACACAUUAGUAUAUGUUGCAUAAGUGAUUAACUUCACACAAUACAAUUAAAAACAGCAGAGCGAUUUUUUUUAUUUGACAUAGCAUGGGGAGAUAGUUGAGUGGUACACAUUUCCUGUUUCCUAGCAACAAGAGCAGGAAGUAUGUGGAAUGGGAUGGGGGAAAAAAAGACAAUUGAAAAGAUUUGUCCUUUACCUAUAGUUGGGUCAGAAAACAACCCAAAGAGGGGACAAAAUAUGCAUCGUGGGUCGAAAUGCAAUUCAUCCUAAACUAAAGAAGAUUUCCUUGUGUGGCAACAUUUAGUCACACUUCAAUGGAGGGGUAUUGACUCGUCCUUUUCCUUUCUUUUGUUGCUACCCUGGUUGGACCUUGCCGACGAAUAGGUUCCUUUGACAGAAAGAGAGAAGCAGGAAAUCUGAUGCAUUUUUCCUUCAGCUAUUUAUACAAACUGUAUCUAGCUCUGAAAGGUGCAACACUAUCCUGGAAUGGCUAUGCAAGAGCCAGGCAGGACCAAAGGAUUUCCCUGUAAGCACUGUGGCAUAGUGCGCUCCAGUAUGCCAAGCCUACUGGAACAUAUGGAAAGUCACUCCCAGCUAGACGAGGAUCGCAGAUUCAAGUGUGAACAGUGUGGGCGGGGCUACAGGCAUGCCGGUAGCUUGGCUAACCACAAAAAGACCCACGAGGUGGGUUCUUUCCAAUGCCACAUAUGUCAAAGAAGCUUGUCCAAUGCUUUGGCCCUCAAGAGCCAUAUUCGAAUCCACACAUCCCAGAAAAAGCACUCCUGCGUGGACUGUGGAAAGGCGUUUCGUCUGGCCACGCAGUUGGCCACCCACGAAAAGGUCCAUCUCUCUCGACAAGCAAGGGGGAGGCUGAGCGACGUUGCGGCCGUGGACUAUGCUCUCGACGAGGAAGAGCGAGACUAUGAGAAUAUCAAUGCCUUUGAACUUGAAGAGCAAGCCGCGUGUGCAUUUGGGGCCGAGCAAGAAUCAGGGUUGAAUGUUAAAUCGGAAGAAUUCCCCGGUGAAGAGGAGGGUGGCGGCGGAGGUGAUCGACCUUUCAGAUGUGAUCAGUGUGACAAGACGUACAGGCACCACGGCAGUCUGAUCAACCACAAAAAGUCUCACACUGUAGGAAUGUUUGAGUGCUCCGUCUGCUUCAAGCAGUUAAAUAACCUGGCCGCUCUCCACAGCCACCAGAGAAUUCAUAACAAGACCAAGAGUGGUCCCGAGGCCAGUUCUGUAGAGGGUGUGUACGCUGCUACAACACCGGAUCAGUUUUCCCCCCUAGUCAGUGAUGCCCCAGUGCAUUUCUGUCACCUGUGUCAGGUGUUGUUUCCCAACGACGAGGAGUUCCAGGAGCACAUCCAAAUGCAUAAUUCUUCAUCCAUGUCGUUUGGACUCCACGGAGGUUUGUCAGAAGACCACAAUGUCUCCUAUGACCGCAGUGUUACACAGUCUCCGGACUCAAACUUUUAUUCACCCUCCCUAAAUGAUGCACCUCCAAUGCCCUUGUCAAUGAGCAACCAUGUGGAUUUCAGUCAGUCGCAUGACCAGAUUAGCAAUGGACAUCUGUACUCUGAUCACUCCAGUAAUGAAACCCCAUUUACCAUCAAUACUCAGGGAGAGCCCUCAGUCGUGAAAUCGGAUGUCCACAACUCCGCCCUGGUGCUUGCUGAUUCUGCUGACGACCCGACUCUGAUUGAAGAGUCUUUAGCCGGUGAUUCUGACGAGCGGCGCUUUAAGUGCCAGAUUUGUGGGAAAAGCUACCGGCACGCAGGGAGCCUCAUUAACCACAAGCGGUCCCAUCAGACAGGCAUUUACCAGUGCUCAAUCUGCCGCAAGAGUUACCCACACCUGGCUGCUCUUCGCAGCCACCUCCGCAUCCACAAGGCCCACACAUCCUCCUUUAACCUCAGCUCGGAGGGAGACUGGCUCUCUCCUGAGCCCCUGACGCUCGACAACCAGCAGAGCAGCUAUCCCUCCCAGGAGGACGGGGAAGACGGCGGCGCCAUCGCCCUCGCUCAGGAGAACGCCGACGGGCACGGAAACGGGGCGGCGUACCACGAGCAGUUCGACCCUGGCUUCCCCCAGGGCAGGACUGUGCACCUACCUCACGACGAGCACCUGAUGAACAGGCACAUGUGCGCCGACUGCGGCGAGACGUUUGCCGACAUCGCAGGGAUCAAGUCGCACGUGUGCCCUCUACUCCAGCAGCAGCAGCCCGUUUCCGACGGCUACAACGGUCAUGUGGACUUCCAGGUCACUAAUGGCCAGUGUGCCAUGGGAAACCCAGGGGAUCACAUGGAAUUUCAAGGACUCAAUGGCACUCAUGACCAAAGGUACUUUGGCAAGCAAAGUUAUCACGAAGACAUGAAUGGUGAGCAGAUGAACGGCGGUAGCGGCGGCUUAGAAGGCGACGUUGACGACGAAGAGGAUGACGAUGACGACGGAGAACUCUACCAGUGCUCGGUGUGCGGGAACCGCUACACCAGCAUGAGAGCGCUGAGGAGCCACCUCCGUGGUCACACCCAAUCCCACGGCACCCCCACCAGCUCCGGGCCGUCCUCCAUGUCUUCCCUCGAGGAGGAGAAAGAGGAGGACCCGAGGGAGAGGCAGCAGAUGGACGGAGGGCUGAUCAUCUGCAGUACCUGUGGGGAGAGUUUCACCAAGAAGCAAGACCUCCUCGCCCACCAACAGCUGCACGAUCGAGCGCAGGUCGACGUGAAACUUGGGAGUGUGGACAUGGACGACGCGGCCAAGCCUAAAGAGGAGGGCCAGAGCAUCAUCUGUGGACACUGUGGCAUUUUCUGCAGCAGCUACGACCAUCUCGAAACCCACCACUGCUCGGCUAAGACCAAAACCGAGUCGACCGCGACAAACGAUGAAAAGGCAGACGUCGGUGAGAUCGCUGACCGACCCGCGAAGGACAAUGUGGACGGGGGAGAUCGUCAGUACAAGUGUGAUCAGUGCGGCCGGUCGUACCGACAUGCUGGCUCGCUGCUCAACCACAAGAAGUCGCACAAGACGGGCGUGUUCCGCUGCUUUGUGUGUCAGAAGCGCUUUUACAAUCUGCUAGCCCUCAAAAACCACCAGCGAACCCACUUUGAUGUGAAAAGGCACACUUGCCAUGAGUGUGGGAAAGCCUUCAAAAUCCAGAAGCAACUGCUGAACCACCUGAGAAUCCACAAGGAGAACCAGGCCAAAAUACAAGAACUCAACAACCAGAUCCAGGCCCUUAUGCAGAUGAAUGGGACCGGGUCCGAGGGAGGAAUGCACUCCUUAAAUGCAAACGCCAAUCAAGCCUCAACCUCGCGCAAAAGACGCCGACCUCCCCCCAUGGCGAGGAAGGCUGCUGUGAGGCCAGCCAAUCAGACGGAGCCCAAUGCUGGGGUCAAAUCUGAGAACAGCGGCGACCCGCGGCCCUAUUCUUGUGACCAAUGUGGCCGGACGUACCGCCAUGCCGGAAGUCUGGUCAACCACAAGAACUCUCACAAGACUGGUGAAUAUUACUGCUCCAUCUGCAACAACACCUACUCCAACCAGCUGGCGAUGAAGAACCACUUGCGUAUUCACUUUGCGCUAAAGAAGCACUGCUGCCAAGACUGUGGGAAAGGCUUCAGGGUAAAGAGACAGCUCACGAACCACACCUGCCCUCACCUCAAAAAGGACAUGGCGGGAGGGACGCGGGGGAGGGCUCGCAGGCGGACAAAAGACUUCAAGUGCAAGGAAUGCGGGCAGGCCUUCGCCACUGCCGACCAGCUGUCCGUCCACGCCUGCGGCGGCAGCGACGGCCAAGCGGACGUGGCCAUGAAAAAAGAGGAGCGCCCAUUCGCGUGCAACAUAUGCAACCGUAGCUACCGCCACGCGGGGAGCCUUCUGAACCACAAGAACACUCACAAGACCGGCCACUUCAGCUGCGCCGUGUGCUCUAAGCCCUUCACCAACCCCAUGGCGCUGCGCAACCACACGCGCAUCCACACGCAGAAGAAGAAGUACGUCUGCCUCACCUGCGGCAAGGCCUUCCGCUUGGCCAGCAUCCUCCACAACCACCAGAAGGUCCACAAUCGCGUGGCCAGCCACUUCAGUUGCCCUGCCUGUGGGAAGAGCUUCCAGGGAAAGUCUGGGCUGAAGAGGCAUCGGUGCCAGAGGGGUCAGGACAGUGCGACGCGAGCAGGCGUCCAUCACGCUGAAGGGGGCGACAAGUGCUUCAUGUGUGACCUGUGUGGGCGUUCGUACCGCCAUGCUGGCUCCCUCCUCAACCACAAAAAAACCCACUCGGAAAACCUCCACCACUGCACCCUGUGCCUGCAGACGUUCCCGGACCCCCUCACGCUCCAGAUCCACUCCCAGAUGAAGCGCCACUGCUGCCCUGAGUGUGGGAAGACCUUCUGCCUGAUAGCUCACCUGCAGAGCCACAUGGAGACGCACAACAAGGAGAGGACCCUGGUGUGCAGCCCCUGCCAGCAGAGCUUCCCCAGCACGGCCAGCUACCAGCAGCACCAGGAGCUGCAGCAUCGAGCCCCUGGCCAAUACCAGCCGCGCGGCGAGGGGGCUGGGGUCCACAUGCAGGAGGACUUGGGCUGGGGCUCAGGGAUGGACCAGGACAUGGGGCUCCAGGGGAUUCCCAAGCUGGUGCCGGCGUUCGCCCACAUGCACGGCGGCAUGUCCGGGGAGGAGGCGGCAGAAGGCAACGCGGACGCCCACGCUUCCGAGGAGAAGAGCCACGUCUGCGAGCACUGCGGCCGCACGUACCGCCACGCCGGCUCGCUGCUAAACCACAAGAACAGCCACAAGACGGGCUCGUUCUUCUGCUCCGUCUGCCAGAAGGAGUUCUCCAACCUGAUGGCCCUCAAGAACCACCGGCGCAUCCACACGGAGCCCAAGCGUUACCAGUGCCUGGAGUGUGGCAAGGCGUUCCGCGUGUCUACCCAGCUCAUCUGCCACCGGCGGAUCCACACGAAGGAGAAGCCCUUCUCCUGCCUGCUGUGCGACAAGCGCUUCUCCAGCAAGUCCAACCUGCGACACCACCAGAAGAUGCACCAGAGCACGCAGUCCUACGAGUCCUCCUUCAGCAUGGAUGCCAAUUCCUUCAUGGAUCUGGACAUGGGCUCUUUCCUCUGAAGCAGGGUGAUCACCUCAACUAGACGGAACGGCUUCUAUCGUCCGGUCUAACCCUACUUGUCAAUAAUUGUAAAAGUAAGAUAUUUUUCAAAGAGUUUCCACAGAAAACAUUUUCAAGUCUUGGUAUGGAUGCCCUCAAAGAUGCUUCGCGUGUUUUCCUAUUUUGAACAUAAUUUUAUGGUUGUGGUGGAGAUGCAAGUCUGGUGGAGAGACUUUGGAUCUUACCUCAGAAAUAGAUUGAGACACUAACAAAAGUCCAGGAUGGUCAACCAAAGCAAAAACCACAGACAACUACUUUAUCCAGGUCUCACUCAACACACUAUUCUACACAUAGAUGAUUUGUCUUUUUUAUGAGCAAGUGCUGUUCCAAGAAUAGUAAUUUUCUCUCUUGAUAUGUAUUGCUGUGUUCAGUGCCUCUGUAAGUUUCUUGCUCUGCUGUGCCCAUCAAGUAUACAGGCCCUUAUAGUUCCUCCUGGGCCCCUCUGUGUUGUCCUAGUUCUGAAUGGACUGGUCAGUAUGCCCCAUGUACUGUGGUGUAUAGACUAGGACAACUCUGUUAGUAUGAGGAAGCAGAUACUGUACCACUGGACCGGUCCAGAUCAUGAUAGAAAAUUGUAUUUACCGAAAUCAUAUAAUCAAUUACUCAGUUUUUAUUGAUGAUUAUAAUAUUUGAGUUCACCUGAAUGGCAUUGUAUGCUAAAUGGACAUAUUUAAUAAUUUAUUCCUGUUCUAUUCAUUUAUUUUAAAUUGUCUGUGUAUACUUUAUUAUACUAGAAAACAAAAGUUUUUAUGAAUGUUAAACUUGUAAAUUGAAAAUGCUUAAAAUGUAGCUUUUAAGGAGAUUCAUAAAUGUAUCUUAUGAUUUCAUAUAUACUCAAUCGGUUCAACCCUGCAGGUAGAAAUGCCUUGAUCAGGGACGAUGGUCUUGAAGCACUCAGGUUCCCCACCUUCAAAAGGAUAAUACCUGACGUGGAUAACACUGUAGAUAAUCGUGUCUACAGUGUGUUUGACCUGGGCAUGAUAUCGUUCACAGGUGCCAUUUCACACCAUUGUCUCGCACAAGUGAGAGUUGUAGCCUUUUGUCGUCUCUCUCAAACAGUUGUCAGGCUCAAACGGCCCAGGCUGUCCAACCCCUCAUCCUUUGUGCUCUGUCUCCUUUGAAAUGUAUAACAAAUGUCGACGUGCCAGUGCCUAAAUGUGUGAGUCAAGAGUGUAGCAGUUAUCCAGUGUGAAAUGACUCUCUCUAAUCAGCAGAAACUGUAGAACACAACAUGUGUAUUUGACUUUUUAUGAUUUUACUUCUGUUGAAGAUCAAGCUUUAAUUUGAUUCACACUUUCAAAUAUGGUCAUCAUUCCAUGAGUUUGUUACUUGAAGAUGAUUAUUUUGUUUAUUUUACGAUGAGAUUAAAUAGUAAUAACUUGCCAUUUGCAAUUAAGUGAUGGUUAGGGAAGAAUAUAAUUCUGUCAAGUCUAGGGAAAACAAUACGCAUAGAAUUCAUUUGGCUUCUUCACAAUGUUGCAUCUUUUGGCUUCCCCAAGAAAAGGCCGUGUUUUUUCGUUCAGUAUGUUGAAUAUGGUCAGCAGGAGAUGUGUUCACCUUGUUUGUGUUUUUAUUAUUGCCUUAUGCUAUGUAAAAUAUGGCUGUGGGUGGUAAGAUGUAUAAAAUACCUCACGGAGAGCCUUGCCAAUCCAGCGACCAAAAUAUUUAAAUCCUUCACUGGUUUAUCAUAGAGUAAUUCGCUAUAACGGAUGUUCCACUCAUCAUGUUGUCGUCAUUGCAAUCCUUAAAAGUGAUUCAUCGAGUGAGCAGUAGUGACGAGCCUUUUCAAAAACAUGAACUUCCGUUUUUAGAUUCUACAAGGACUGUUUCGUACGCCUUCUUGACAACACUGAUUAUGAAAGGACAUUAUCUUCCUCGUCUGCCCCAUCGCCUCAGAUCUUAGUGUCACAGGCGCAGCAGGUCCAUGUAGCCCAAGUCUCACCUUUCUACCAAUUUUAAAAAAGCAAUAUGUUGAUAGGACUGUUUACUGCCCAUUAUUUCAGGUACAGUGUUGUCUACUUACAUAAUGUAUGUACUGUACAUCUUAUGUUUUGUAAGAUUGUAAUUUUGUUGUCUUCAUGUAUUUAUACAUGUAUACCAGGUACACUAAUAUAGUAGUAUAUAUAAAUGGUAUACACAGCUUGAGUUAACCGAAUGGCUAAGGACCUUUUACUUAAGAUAUCAUUCAGAAUGACUUGCCAACACCUGAGCAUCCUUUUCAAUUCCAUUAUUCUGAAUUUCCUAUGACAAUGUAUUUUCAUACGCCAUUGUUACAAAUAUCCAGAGUGUUAGUCUGGUAAUCUCAGUUAGAAUUGUUCACUGUUGUUUGUUAAAGCAUCCAUAUUCUAUCCCACCUGGCACUUAUUUUUAUGUACACUCCUCUUCAUCAUAACCCUGUAACAUUUCUGAGAGUUCUGUAAAUAUUGGAUUUGAACUUCAGUUGGGUUUUCUGUACAUUCAGAGCAAGAAUAUCUUCCACGUUAGGAAACAACUGCUAGUUUAGCUAUUGUGUAAUAAAAAGCGUAUACCACACAUGUCAUUUUAUUGAAUUUUCAAAAAUGUUCCAAAACUCAUGUUUGCUCAAUAUUUAAUUCAUAUUUAUAUGAACCUGUAUAUAUAUUUUGUCACUUUGAAACGUAGAUUUUUACUUCUUUGUUAGUAUACUGAACUUAAGUAAUUAGAAUAUAAACACAUUUGAAAAAUUAGUUGUUGAAAUUAAAUUACGGAAAUAUU